CCCCGGAGGCGCCGGGAAAUUGGUGGAAAACACCUUCGGAACUUCUCUGAAUACCUAAUGAUCCUGCAUGAAUUUAAUCAUCUCCAGGACUUUAGAGGUAAGUAAUAUCAUUUUAUUCAUUUACAGAGAAGGUAAGAGAGACCCAGAGCUAAUGUUCUAAAUUUGUACAUUUAGUAUAUAGUGGAAAUGAAAUGUAUCACAGCAAAAAACUGGAACAAUGUAAAAUGUCCAGUUAAAUACAUGUAGUGUUUCCAUGGAGUGCUGUGCACUCAUUUAAAAUAAUGAUUUUAAUCACCAGGUAGAAAUAUGUAAAAAUAUAACAUGGUAAGUGAAAAAAACUAAGAUAUUCUAUUACUGGUAGUUUAGCUUACAUGUCUUUUGUUAAAAAUAAAGUUUAUCUAAAAAUGGCUAGGAGAAAAACCACAAAAUGUGAAUUAAAGAGUAUUUAUGUUAUGGGUGAUUUUUUUUCUCUGUAAUUUCCUGCCUAUUUAAUGUGGUGACAUUACUUCUUUAUAGGAAAAAUAAACAUAACAAAAUGGGGAGAGGAAUCGACUUUUGAAAAUUUUUAUCAAAUCUAGUCAAGUGAUUUGUAUUUUAAAUUUGACUUAACAGAAAUCAAGUAGGUUUUUCUCAUAGCUGAUGCCUGAACAUGGGUUUGAAUUACUGGGAUCCACUUAUAUGGGGAUUUUUUUCCAAUAAAUGUGUCCUACACAGAGAUUGAUUCUGAUUGAAUCUGUGAGUGUGAAACCUCAGCUAGGAUUAAUUAACUACUAUAGUGAUGUGGAUUUUUUUUUUUAACUUGUCCUGCUGUGGAGUGGCUCCAGGUAGGAAUCUCAAUUCCCAGACCAGGACUGAACCCAGGCCACAGCAGUGAAAGCACCAAGUCCUAACUACUAGACCACCAGGGAACUCCCUGUAGUAAUAUGGAUUUUCAACUGUGGUAGGUGUCCAUGCCCUUAACCCCUGUAUUGUUUAAGGGUUAACUGUAUUAUGAGAUUAGCAAUGGCACUUACAAAACUGUCUUACUCAUUAUUGAAAACUAACUUUUAACACUAGCACAUCCUUAAACUUGACCUGCUGAAAGCACACCAGUGUUCCAGCAAGAACAAAGGAGAAAGCGGAAGUGAAGCAAGUGAAGCACACACCUUUCUUUAAGGUCAGUCAGUAUCUGAAAGUCACACAGAGAGUCUGCCCUCCAUAUCAGCAGAGAUGGAAGCAGCCCACUGUAGUAUGCCAUUUUCUAUAAAGGAUUCGAGCAUGGGGAGUUUGGUAGCUGGUGAGGAGGAGAGAGUCCUGGAACCUAUUCUACUCCCUUACACUAGGGAUGACCAUACCAUAUCAUUUCUAUUCCUUUGGACAGAACUCUGGUACAUGACCACACCAAGAUGUAAGCUGGCAUAGAAAAGUGCUAUCUGUCUUUGAGCUAACAUGUACCUAGCUAAAAACCAAAGAAGGUGUAAUAAGAGAUAGCCUCUGACACCAGAGGGUCUACUAAGAGUCAGUAUGAAUAGAGAUUAAAAUGCAUUUUGAAGUCAAACAAACUGAAAUCAGGGUAUACAUCUGUCACUUAUUAGCUUUCAGACCCUGGGAAAAUUUCUUAAUCUCUCUAAACAUAAAUUAUAUCAUCUUUAGUGUAUAUUUCCCAUAUUUUGGUUACCUUCCUAUUUUUGUAGGGAAUAAUUGUGUGACUCUUGUAAAGCUGCCCUCACACUACAUGACAAUUUUCUAUUUAUAUCAAGUGCACCUAUAAUGAUUUGUUACUAUGUUCUCUAAUAUAUUUCCCUACCCAAAAUUUAAUUAAUUGUUCUAUGAUUAGUUCAAUUAUCAUAAUCAUACACCAAACAUAAAGAUGUGCUUUAAGGAAGUUCUCUAGUGGCUCAGCAGGUUAAGGAUCUGGUGUUGUCAUUGCUGUAGCUCAGGUUGCUGCUGUGGCAUAGGUUCGAUCCCUGGCCAGGGAACUUCUCAUUCCAUGGGAGCAGCCACACACACACACACACACACACAUGAUUUAAAAGAAAAAAGCUUGCAUUUUGACUGAAGAGCAGAUGGUGACAGUAGUGGAAUCUUUAUAUUAUCCUCCGAAAUUUAACCUUCUAUCCUCUCUACCCUCUGCAUAAAUUUAUAAAUUAGAGAACAUGUAAAGAAACUACCCUACAGCAGCAAAUACAAGAGAAUUAACAGUCACCUGAAGUAGAUCCUCCAGAACAUCAGAUGAAGAAACAAUAAAGAAUAUAAAAUAAAUGUUUAAAUUUUUAAUUAAAAUUAACAACUCAUUACAAAUAUGAAGCCAUCAAUAUUUUUAAAAUAAAAUGAAAUAUCAGUGUUUUAAAAGAAUAUUGAGAUUAAAUACUUCAGACAUUAGAAACAGCAAAAUAGAAAAUAGUGACUUGUAAAUUGAGGAAAUAAAGUGAUAAAAAAGAAGAAAGAGAAUAUUUUAAAUAUGGAGGAAAAAUAUAGGAGUUCCAGGAAGAUAGAAUAGACAGAAUUGAAGUGAUAGUCACAAGAUGAAAGCUAGAACUUUCCAGAACUGAAUUUUCACCUUCAAGAGACAUACAUCUCAGGUAGGAUAAAUUUUAAAAUUCCACACCUAUGUUAGAAAAACUGCCUAAUACCAUUGACAAAGAAAAUAUGGUGAAUGCAUCUAGAGAUUAACCACAGCCUACAAAAGAAAAAAUAAGCUAAGAACAUAAUUCUCUAUAGUAACAAUAGAAGCCAAAAGAUAGUGAAAAAAUAACUUCAAACUAUUUAAGUUAAUAAACAUUCAAUGUAGACUUUAUAACUAAACUCUCAGAAAUGAGGGCAAUAUAAAAGAUAUUUUUAGAGAAAGCAAAAAAAUGAUCAUUACCAUCAGUAACUUUUACAGAAAGAAUGUCUAAAGGAUCUCCUUCAGGAAAAAAGAAAUCAAAACCAGAAAGAAGACAUUGGAUAUAAACAGAAAUAUAUAAGAGGGUAAAUCUAAACAAACUAAUAAAUAUCCAGUUUGGGAGAAUUUAGUAGAAAAUAAAUCUUAGGCAAUAAUGACAUGUGAGAUAAGAUGAUCAGAAUGAAAAUAUUUUAAUGUUCAAUUUUGGGUAAGGGAAAUAUUAGAUAACUUUAAAUUUUAAUAAAUAUGUAUAUUAAAAUAUUAGAGCAGUGUUUUUGAAAGAAUAGAAAAAGUAACUUAAAUACACAAACACACAUACACAAUCCAAAGAAAGCAGAACUAGCCAAAGUCAGAAGGUAAAAACAGCUGCAUUAUAUCCACAAGCAUGAGAUGAAAGAACAACAAUUUUGAGAAUCAAACGAUCAGUCUUAAAAAGCUUGAAGAUGGAAUAAAAGCAAAAGAGAGUUAUUGAUCUGAAAAUAGAUUUAAGGAAAUUAUCUAAAAUGUGAAACAGAGAUACACUGUAUAAAACUGGAAAUUACUCGAGAAGUUGAGAUGUUGAGGUUAGAAUGAAAAUGUCCAACAUAAAUUAAAAAUGAGUUUCAGAUUGAGGGACCAGAGAGAAUAGAAGAGAGGCAAUACUUUUUAAAAUGGCUUAGAAUUUUCCAGAGUUGACAAAAGGUGUGAAAUCUCAGAUUCCUAAAGUGGAAGUGGAUAAAAAGAGAUUAAUAUGCACCAAAUGCACCACAGGAAAACUGCAGAAAACCUUAGAGAUAGGAAGAUAUUAAGAGGCAAAAGAUGAAAGGGAACAUUUCUUUUUAAAGGAAGACAGUAUAAUUUUAACAGAAAACUAGAUAAGGAUAAUAAAAGAAAAAA
rnacentral:lncRNA from 1 species